UACGUAGGGUGCGAGCGUUGUCCGGAAUUACUGGGCGUAAAGAGCUCGUAGGUGGUUUGUCGCGUUGUUCGUGAAAACUCACAGCUUAACUGUGGGCGUGCGGGCGAUACGGGCAGACUGGAGUACUGCAGGGGAGACUGGAAUUCCUGGUGUAGCGGUGGAAUGCGCAGAUAUCAGGAGGAACACCGAUGGCGAAGGCAGGUCUCUGGGCUGACACUGACGCUCAUGCACGAAAGCGUGGGGAGCAAACAGG
rnacentral:rRNA from 1 species